rnacentral:rRNA from 1 species
AGCAGUAGGGAAUCUUCCGCAAUGGACGAAAGUCUGACGGAGCAACGCCGCGUGAACGAUGAAGGCCUUCGGGUCGUAAAGUUCUGUUGUUAGGGAAGAACAAGUACCGUUCAAAUAGGGCGGUACCUUGACGGUACCUAACCAGAAAGCCACGGCUAACUACGUGCCAGCAGCCGCGGUAAUACGUAGGUGGCAAGCGUUGUCCGGAAUUAUUGGGCGUAAAGCGCGCGCAGGCGGUUUUUUAAGUCUGAUGUGAAAGCCCACGGCUCAACUCGUGGAGGGUCAUCGGAACUGGAGAACUUGAGUGCAGAGAGGAGAGCGGAUUCCACGUGUAGCGUGAAAUGCGUAGAGAUGUGAGACACCAGUGGCGAAGCUCUCUGGUCUGUACUGACGCUGAG